rnacentral:tRNA from 17 species
GCGGGAUUAGCUCAGUUGGUAGAGCACGACCUUGCCAAGGUCGGGGUCGAGAGUUCGAGUCUCUUAUCCCGCUCCA